rnacentral:sRNA from 1 species
GCCAGGCAUGGUGGCACAUGCCUGUAAUCCCAGCAGCUCGGGAGGCUGGGACAGGAGGAUCUCAGGUUCAAAGCCAGCCUUAGCUUUGAAGCAACUCAGUGUGACCCUGUUUCUA